UACGUAGGUGGCAAGCGUUGUCCGGAAUUAUUGGGCGUAAAGAGCUCGUAGGCGGUUUGUCGCGUCUGCUGUGAAAACCUAAGGCUCAACCUUGGGCUUGCAGUGGGUACGGGCAGACUAGAGUGCGGUAGGGGUGACUGGAAUUCCUGGUGUAGCGGUGGAAUGCGCAGAGUAGUCAGGAGGAACACCGGUGGCGAAGGCGGGUCUCGUGGGCCGAAGUACUGACGCUGGAGGAGCGAAAGCGUGGGGAGCGAACAGG
rnacentral:rRNA from 1 species